rfam:Streptomyces tsukubensis NRRL18488 Contig654, whole genome shotgun sequence.
CACCCGGCCGGAUCCCGUGGGGGGAAUCCGCUCCGGGGAUAUGGGAAGCGCCCCGCUCGCCGAC